rnacentral:rRNA from 1 species
AGAGCGGCGGACGGGUGAGUAACACGUGGACAAUCUCGCCCCCCGGCCCGGGAUAGCCCAGGGAAACCUGGAUUAAUACCGGAUGAGACGGGACCGCGAUGGCGGGACCCGGGAAAGGCGCUGCGGCGCCGCCGGGGGAUGAGUCUGCGUCCCAUUAGCUAGACGGCGGGGGUAACGGCCCACCGUGGCGACGAUGGGUAGCCGGCCUGAGAGGGUGGACGGCCACAUUGGAACUGAGACACGGUCCAGACUCCUACGGGAGGCAGCAGCUAAGAAUCUUCCGCAAUGGGCGAAAGCCUGACGGAGCGACGCCGCCGUGAACGAAGAAGGCCGUGAGGUUGUAAAGUUCUUUUCGGGAGGGGGAACAACCGUGGCAGGGAAUGGCCGCGGGAUGACGUGAAUCCCGGAAUAAGCCCCGGCUAACUACGUGCCAGCAGCAGC